AAAUAUUAAAAUUAUUUUACGAGAAGACUAUAAUAUUUUUUUUCGUUCUUGCUCCGCCUUCUGGGGCCUAUAAAACCACAACUGACGAUGUUUCUAUUUGCAAUAUUUCCACCUCCUUACACCCAAAAUAUAUAGCCAAAUGGGAAAAAGAAGGCAUUUCUUGGCAAAGUUUAAUUGUCAAUUUAAAUUCACCCUACAACCAAACCAAAAAAACACCAACAACAUUGCACCGAAUAGUCUGGGGUGUAGCUGACUAAUGAGGUCCUCUAAAUGUUGAACAAGAGCUAACAAAUUAGCAUGCAUGUCUGUCAGAAAUGAAUUUAUGAAUAUCAAGUUGUUGAAUCAGAAAUAAUUUAAUAAUCUAGUACCGGAUGUUCGUGCUACAUUUUUGCUGAGAAACAUGAAAAAUCUUCAGUUACAAUGGAUAAUUG